rnacentral:rRNA from 1 species
AUGAAGAAGAAGGAGGCUGCGGGAGAACGGAGUAAAUCCAGUGGAAUCACGCGGAAGCGGGCACGGAGUGGGGACGUGACCGCCGCCGAUCUCAUCAGCCGCCAACCGGACGCCAUCCUCUGCACUAUCAUCUCUUUACUCCCCACCAAGGACGGCGGCCGCACGCCGGCCCUCUCCCGCCGAUGGCGCCACCUCUGGCGCUCCGCACCUCUCAACCUCGAGGUCAUCACGUCCCUCCCGGUCUUCCUUCGCCACGCCGUCCCGCCCUCCGCCGUGUCCAAGAUAAUCUCCCUACACCCUGGCCCCGCCCGCCGAUUCUCCUUCCUCUUCCUCCGGGCCGGCGAUCUCUACGCUCAGGUGGAGAGCUGGUUCGACUCCCGAGCCCUCUGCAACCUCGAGGAGCUCGAUAUCGGCUAUGAGUACCUCUCUGCACGUAAGACCAGCUACCCGCUGCCGCAAUCCGUGCUCCGCUCCUCCUCAUCCACCCUACUCGUUGCCAAGAUCAGCUAUUGUGAUUUCCCUAAGAUAAUCGCACCGUCCAUGAAUUUUCCCCUCCUCAAGGAGCUCUCCUUGAGGUACGUUUCCAUCAGGGGGGAUGUAUUCCAUGGCUUGCUCUCCGGCUGCCAUGCCUUGGAGAGCUUAUACAUGCUCCAAGUUCAGGCUGCUGGUUGCCUCCGUGUUAGUUCGCCAACUAUUAGGAGCAUUGGCUUCCGUGAUAACUCUGGUGAAAAAGCAGAGCUGGUCAUCGAGGAUGCUCCUCGCCUUGAAAGGUUAUUGUUACCAUAUUGUCACCGGGAUGAUUGUGUGACUAUCCAGGUUAUUAGCGCACCUAAACUGGUGAUAUUGGGGCCAUUAUCACCAGACUUCUGCAAACUCCUGGACUUGCAGGAAAUGAACCCAGUCAGCUUGGCAAACUCGAUAUGCACCGUGAAGGUUUUGGCCCUUGGGUGUUCUAAUCAUCAAUUGAAUGCAGUUCUUGACAUCCUCAGGAUGUUCCCCUGUUUGGAAAAGCUCUAUGUCACUUCUCACUCACACGGUAGCAUGCUUGAGCAAAAUGAGGAUCAGUAUGACCCACCAUAUCCAGUGGAGUGCCUUGAGACCCACCUAAAGGAAGUGGUGUUCAAGUUAUUCAUAGGCUAUGAGCAACAAGUUAACUUUGCCAGGUUCUUUGUUUUGAAUGCAAAAGUGCUAAACAAAAUUGAAUUUCAAGGAUGUGGGGACUACAACAAUGAAAUGGUGGCUCGUCAACACAGGCUGCUCCAAGUCGAAAACAGAGCUUCUCGAGAUGCUCAUUUUGAAUUCAGAAAUAUUUAUUUUUGUAUUGAUGAACAUGUCGAGAAGCAUGUCCAUAAUUUGUCACUGGCCGACCCCUUCUCAGACAGCCAUAGAUAG